rnacentral:lncRNA from 1 species
AUUAACAUUCCUUACACAAUAACCAAAACGUACUCAAAACAUGAAGGAACAAACUAACUAAAAGAGAUACUAGAAAUAAAACCUAUAAAUAUAACUAUAAAGUCUUUAGGCGUCCCCUUCGCUGUCUUCCUGCGGAACGGGCUCGGGAACAACGUCUUCCUGAUCUGAAAUGGUUAAAUAAGGGAUGAGCUACACCAGCCCAGUAAAGACAUCACACUAUCUCACCGCCACGGAAGUAAAGGUGGGUAGAAAACAAAAAUGACCAAUGGAGUAUA